CACUAUCUAGUGGUGAAGCAUUUGUUGGAUAGGUACGUUUGUGUACUGGACAUGGAAAAUUGUCAUGCUGUUACUGAAUAGAAAUUAUAUUUACUUGAACAUUUUAUAUGCCAUUUCACUGAUAAAGGUACAUGGGUCCUUUUUUUCUACAGAAACACUGUAAAAGAAGAUGACUCAAUGUUGUUCAGAUGACCAUGAGAUCAUUGACCAUACACUCCGUAAUCUUUUGCUUUUGGAAUGUGCUUUAGACUAUAUUUAUAUGCUCCUAUUGCUAAUAAUAUCAAAACUCCAAGACUGCAUUAUAGCUCCUUUGAUGACCAUCAGCAGGGAAAUUUUACUAUGUUUGUGAAUAGAAUUGUGAUACCCGGUCGAUAUGUGUCCUGUACCAACAGGAACACACAAUGACCUUUAUGGUAUUAUGUCAAAUUUGAUGAACUUUUAUUUCAUUUCAUGUAGUAAUCAUUUUUUAUCUGUAAUAUGUUACAGAAUAAAACAUUUUAAAACUUACAAA